rnacentral:rRNA from 1 species
GAUGAACGCUGGCGGCGUGCCUAAUACAUGCAAGUCGAGCGAACGGACGAGAAGCUUGCUUCUCUGAUGUUAGCGGCGGACGGGUGAGUAACACGUGGAUAACCUACCUAUAAGACUGGGAUAACUUCGGGAAACCGGAGCUAAUACCGGAUAAUAUUUUGAACCGCAUGGUUCAAAAGUGAAAGACGGUCUUGCUGUCACUUAUAGAUGGAUCCGCGCUGCAUUAGCUAGUUGGUAAGGUAACGGCUUACCAAGGCAAGGAUGCAUAGCCGACCUGAGAGGGUGAUCGGCCACACUGGAACUGAGACACGGUCCAGACUCCUACGGGAGGCAGCAGUAGGGAAUCUUCCGCAAUGGGCGAAAGCCUGACGGAGCAACGCCGCGUGAGUGAUGAAGGUCUUCGGAUCGUAAAACUCUGUUAUUAGGGAAGAACAUAUGUGUAAGUAACUGUGCACAUCUUGACGGUACCUAAUCAGAAAGCCACGGUUAACUACGUG